rnacentral:rRNA from 1 species
UACGUAGGGUGCGAGCGUUAAUCGGAAUUAUUGGGCGUAAAGAGCUCGUAGGCGGUUUGUCGCGUCUGCCGUGAAAGUCCGGGGCUCAACUCCGGAUCUGCGGUGGGUACGGGCAGACUAGAGUGAUGUAGGGGAGAUUGGAAUUCCUGGUGUAGCGGUGAAAUGCGCAGAUAUCAGGAGGAACACCGGUGGCGAAGGCGGGUCUCUGGGCAACUACUGACGCUGAGGAGCGAAAGCGUGGGGAGCGAACAGG